CAGGGAGACAACAAAAUGUUAAAUAUUAAUUUUGUCACCUUAGGUCGAUCGGUAUCUCACAUUCUUAAUUUAUUAAGGAUUUUAUUUCCUAAGUUUUUUCUAGGUCACACCCAUUAUUUUUCCUGGGCCAUUAGCUCAGGUGGUUAGAGCGCACCCCUGAUAAGGGUGAGGUCCCUGGUUCAAGUCCAGGAUGGCCCAUAUCUCUAUGUUGGGGGUAUAGCUCAGUUGGUAGAGCGCCUGCUUUGCAAGCAGGAUGUCAGCGGUUCGAGUCCGCUUACCUCCACUGAUUACCACCUCUUCCAUAAUUUACUGAAGGGAAACUUUUUUAGGUGUGAUCAAAAUCUGAACGAAUCUAGCUUCCUAAUCAAACUUAUUAAGAUGCUGGACUCAUUGAAUUAUUUUCAUUGUUUUCAGAGAACCUUGACAACUGCAUAGAUUAUUUUUAAAGACAAUAAGCAUCUUUAAUGAUGCAGAUUUAUUAUUUAUGCGAAUGCAUUAAUAACAAUUCUAUUAAGCUGAUGCUUCAAUUUUUGAAGUUAUU
rnacentral:tRNA from 1 species